AUAAGAAUUUGAUUCUUCUUUGCAGGGUUUGUGAUUAUUUAGUUGGGAAAAAAAAAGUACCCUAUUGGAACAAACCAGAGAAAUAAAAUUGAAAAGGUGUUUCAUGUCUUGCUAUCAAAUGAGAUAGAGAUCUAACAUUUGUCACAAAUGUUAUGCUACAAUAAACAAUGUCAUCAAAAGAAUGGCAUCGACAACACUUCUUUUAAAUAUGAACUGGAAACCUCAUUCUGAUGAAUGCUAUUGAUGCCAACAGACAGAAAACAACUUUUACAGUAGCAUCAUUGCUAUCAUUAUUGACAUCAUCAUCAUCGUAUUUAUUUAACAGCAACAUUUCUGAUAUUUUCAAUCUAACUGCAGGUAAUGAUUCCUAGAAUAAUUGAAGAUGCUGCACUACAUAUUCUUAAGCAAAAGAUGGCUAAAGAUGGUGGAAAAGUAGUUGAGUUCAAAAGUGGAGGAUCUUGACCAGUUGUGUUUUCGCUCACUCCAAAGGCUCAUGUAAGCAGUAACGAAGCAUCAAAAACAACUAUAAUAGUCAAAAAUUCUUCAAUUAAAAAACACAUGGAGGUUAUGUCUGGUACAUCAAAUGAUGCAAUAUGCUGCCAAUCAUCAAAGCUGCUAAAAUCAUUUCAAACAGAGACAAAGGGUUUGAUAUUGGAUAAUUUAUAUACUGAAGCAGUAGUAAUUACUGCAAAUAACAUGGAGGCAAUGAAAGCAGAUUUGUGCAUACCUUGGGAAAAGCUUAAAACAAUAUCAAAGUGGCUGAAGAGCUUUAAUAUAAAUACAGCAUCAUAUUCUUCACAUAGAUUAGUUGCUGAAAAAUUAUCUGGUGAUUACUUAAUUAUAGAAAAUGCACCAUUUACUUUUGAAAAAGAAGAGAAAGGAAUAUUUAAAAUAAAAUACGUAUCUUGGGGCUAUAUUGAAAAUUUACCAAUGCAUAUAUUAAGACAUCUUGAUCAAUUAGAAAGUUGUAAAGGACUUCAUUGCCAUAAUUUUUUUCCUGAUAAAGAAAUACAAAUUAAAAUCGGAUGUGAUUAUGGUGGGGGCAGUUUUAAAAUGACUUAUCAGGUUGCAAAUACCUUGAACCCAAAUAGCAAAGACAACACUAUAGUUUUUUGCAUCUUCGAGGCGAAGGAUUUCAGAAUCAAUAUAAAAGUAGCCAUGUCGAGGUUUGAAAAGCAAAUAGAAGAUCUUCAAAAAAUGAACUAUAAGGAUAACAGUAUUAGAGUAUUUGUUUUCGGAGACUAUGAGUUUUUAUGUGCACUCUACAGAAUUUCAGGAGCUACAGGGAGGCAUCGUUGUCUUUUCUGUUAUGCGACAGCAAGUGAAAUGAAAUGUGGUAAACAUGAAAAUCCUGAAAUAAAAGAUCGUACCUUGGAAGAUCUAUUUUCUGAUCAUAAAAAAUUUAUAGAAAGUGGAGGCUUAAAGAAAAAUGUUAAGAAUUUUAAUAAUGUCAUUGAAGAACCAAUUUUGAAAAUACCCCUUGAUCAAGUAUCUUUACCUAGUCUCCACAUGGCUCUUGGUAUUUAUUUGAAUUUUUUUAAUUUGUUUGAAGAAGAAGUGCAUCAGCUGGAUAUUUUAAUUGCUGCAGAAACAUUAAAAAGCAACAUUAAUUUUUCAGAAGAAUAUACAGUUUUGUAUCAAAACAAAAACAGCUGUUAAAUCUUCAAGCUGAAAAUGUUAGCAGCUGUUAACAAUUCUGAUAGUUUUGAAAAUAUUCAAUCUCUAUACUUCACAGAAAUUGAGUUGCUUAAUAGUGAAAAAGCAAAAAAGAAAUCUUCAAUACUUCAGCUAUGUAACUGUAUACCGAAGCUUGUUCAUGAAGAAGGAUAUUCAGGAACAAACGUGCACCUGUUAGCAGUUGAUAUUAGCAAUAAAUAUAAACAACUAUUUGAUAAAUUUGCCCAGUGCUACAAAAUAUUUUCUUUAAAAAGUAUAGUUA
rnacentral:misc_RNA from 1 species